CUGAUAUGUCUAUAAUUUGCAUGUUUUCAGUGUCCAUUCAUCAUUGUUUUGAGUCCAGUUUCGUAUCAUUCAUCACUGUUUUAUAUCAUUUAU
rnacentral:sRNA from 1 species